GAUCCUGGCUCAGAACGAACGCUGGCGGCAGGCUUAACACAUGCAAGUCGAGCGCCCCGCAAGGGGAGCGGCAGACGGGUGAGUAACGCGUGGGAACGUACCCUUUACUACGGAAUAACGCAGGGAAACUUGUGCUAAUACCGUAUGUGCCCUUCGGGGGAAAGAUUUAUCGGUAAGGGAUCGGCCCGCGUUGGAUUAGCUAGUUGGUGGGGUAAAGGCCUACCAAGGCGACGAUCCAUAGCUGGUCUGAGAGGAUGAUCAGCCACAUUGGGACUGAGACACGGCCCAAACUCCUACGGGAGGCAGCAGUGGGGAAUAUUGGACAAUGGGCGCAAGCCUGAUCCAGCCAUGCCGCGUGAGUGAUGAAGGCCCUAGGGUUGUAAAGCUCUUUCACCGGAGAAGAUAAUGACGGUAUCCGGAGAAGAAGCCCCGGCUAA
rnacentral:rRNA from 1 species